AGAAAAUUAGUUUAAAUAAAAACAUGUGCUUUUCGAGUACAAAAAAUGGUUUCAUAUUUUCUU
rnacentral:tRNA from 1 species